rnacentral:rRNA from 1 species
GACGUAGGGGGCGAGCGUUGUCCGGAUUCAUUGGGCGUAAAGAGCGUGUAGGCGGCCCGGUAAGUCCGCUGUGAAAGUCGGGGGCUCAACCCUCGAAUGCCGGUGGAUACUGUCGGGCUAGAGUGCGGAAGAGGCGAGUGGAAUUCCUGGUGUAGCGGUGAAAUGCGCAGAUAUCAGGAGGAACACCGAUUGCGAAGGCAGCUCGCUGGGACGUCACUGACGCUGAGACGCGAAAGCGUGGGGAGCAAACAGG